GUCCAACUAACGAGUUCCAAAUAGGACGAAAUGCGCGUCUUGGAU
rnacentral:hammerhead_ribozyme from 1 species